GACGAACGCUGGCGGCGUGCUUAACACAUGCAAGUCGAACGGAAAGGCCCUUCGGGGUACUCGAGUGGCGAACGGGUGAGUAACACGUGGGUGAUCUGCCCUGCACUUUGGGUUAAGCCUGGGAAACUGGGUCUAAUACCGAAUAGGACCACGCGCUUCAUGGUGUGUGGUGGAAAGCUUUUGCGGUGUGGGAUGGGCCCGCGGCCUAUCAGCUUGUUGGUGGGGUAAUGGCCUACCAAGGCGACGACGGGUAGCCGGCCUGAGAGGGUGAACGGCCACACUGGGACUGAGAGACGGCCCAGACUCCUACGGGAGGCAGCAGUGGGGAAUAUUGCACAAUGGGCGCAAGCCUGAUGCAGCGACGCCGCGUGAGGGAUGACGGCCUGCGGGUUGUAAACCUCUUUCGCCAGGGACGAAGCGUAAGUGACGGUACCUGGAGAAGAAGCACCGGCCAACUACGUG
rnacentral:rRNA from 1 species